ACUUUCGGGACAACCUAAUAUAAACUUUUUUAGGUGAUCCAAGUGUAGAAGUGAGUGAGUAGCUAUCGAGAUUUCGAAUUAAUCUCUUAGAAGGUUGAAUAUUACUCAUAAGUUCCACCACGGCACACCAAUGAACGACAAGCGAAAGUGAAACAAUGUUUGUUACCUAUUUCGAGCAGUCGGAGCUGGACAUACGUGCCCCGAAGCGUUCGCCAAACGUUCUAUCGCCUGAAGCGGAUAUUGGCAAUGAGCUGUAUGAAUAAAGGAGGAAGUCGCAUAAUAUAUCGCACCUGCUAUGAGGAACCUUCUGCUGUCCUUCCUCUUAAACGGGGGAAGCAUUGAAGUCUCCGGAUUAAUCUUCAAUGCAAUCCAAUCGUUUAUUUCUCUCUCAUUGUUCAACCGGCUAUGGUUACUCACGGACCAUGGAACAUCUUCGAUUAAGUGUUGAAAUACUUUGGCAACGUUUACGAGAAAGCAGCCAACGAAUCCGACAAAAUAUGGACAACAUACAUGGAAUAUUUGAAAGAUUGAGAAACUAUAACGAGACAUUUCCAAGCUUAUACUUGGUCCGAUGGUAGCCAUUUGAGUACUUCCUAUAAAGGAAACGAUUAUGUCUGGUUACCGAUCAUACAUAUUAAAUAGAGGAAAUACACAAUGAACUACGUGUAAUAACCGAUAGUGGAGAACCACUGGGUCUGUGUGAGUCAGGCAGAGUAAGGUCCAGUAUAAGGUCCUGGGGUGAUUCGCCUAGACGGCCAUGACCAUAUUACAGGCCAGAGGCCCCCAAUACCAGUCAGCAAGCUCACUUCCAGUGACAACUGGCGAAAUCAUUGCCGGCAAAUCGCUUCAUGUGUUCACAACAGAACUCGAGUUCAUGGACUUAAUUUGUUUACACAACCAUGUCAAAAGCUAUAUUCAUCCUUCGUUGUACGUUUAAGUAUUCAACCCCAAUGAUUCAUGUUACCUCUUUUGCUACAAAAAUAUGUAAAACCAUUUACGUUUGAAAAAGAAUCAAGCGAAUGUAUAUCUUACAAUAAAAUUGAAUCGAUGAAAUUAUUUAAAAAUAUACACGAUUACUUCUAGUAAUGGAGAAUAGUAUUUAAUAACGAAUGAUAACACUAUCCAACAAAUUUAAACUUUUUUUAAAUUCCGCGAUAUCCACUAGGUGAUUCU